AGCCCUGGAAACGGGGUCUAAUACCGGAUAACACUUACCUCCUCCUGGGGGUGGGUUAAAAGCUCCGGCGGUGAAGGAUGAGCCCGCGGCCUAUCAGCUUGUUGGUGGGGUAAUGGCCUACCAAGGCGACGACGGGUAGCCGGCCUGAGAGGGCGACCGGCCACACUGGGACUGAGACACGGCCCAGACUCCUACGGGAGGCAGCAGUGGGGAAUAUUGCACAAUGGGCGAAAGCCUGAUGCAGCGACGCCGCGUGAGGGAUGACGGCCUUCGGGUUGUAAACCUCUUUCAGCAGGGAAGAAGCGCAAGUGACGGUACCUGCAGAAGAAGCACCGGCUAACUACGUGCCAGCAGCCGCGGUAAUACGUAGGGUGCGAGCGUUGUCCGGAAUUAUUGGGCGUAAAGAGCUCGUAGGCGGUCUGUCACGUCGGAUGUGAAAGCCCGGGGCUUAACCCCGGGUCUGCAUUCGAUACGGGCAGACUAGAGUGUGGUAGGGGAGAUCGGAAUUCCUGGUGUAGCGGUGAAAUGCGCAGAUAUCAGGAGGAACACCGGUGGCGAAGGCGGAUCUCUGGGCCAUUACUGACGCUGAGGAGCGAAAGCGUGGGGAGCGAACAGGAUUAGAUACCCUGGUAGUCCACGCCGUAAACGUUGGGAACUAGGUGUUGGCGACAUUCCACGUCGUCGGUGCCGCAGCUAACGCAUUAAGUUCCCCGCCUGGGGAGUACGGCCGCAAGGCUAAAACUCAAAGGAAUUGACGGGGGGCCCGCACAAGCAGCGGGAGCAUGUGGCUUUAAUUCGACGCAACGCGAAAGAACCUUACCAAGGCUUGACAUACACCGG
rnacentral:rRNA from 1 species